GCUGUCGUUGAUGGUGGUGUAGGCUAAUGUACAAUGAGGAAGAUUUUCCACAGUGUGUGAGUAAUGACGGCAGGGUCUGCGGUCCUAUCCGAACACAAUUCAGUGGAGGAAGGCCUUUUCCCUGACCCUGCUCGGAAAUACUGCAAUUGCAAUCUCAUGGCUGACCCACUGACCCCUGCAGUCCAUCUCACAUCCCUGACAGGCCCCCAAACACCAACCGACUUGUCCACCACGCCAGAGACCAUUGUGAAACUCCAUGUCAACUGAAGAUUCACUCUU